rnacentral:lncRNA from 1 species
UCGAGGAGGAUUGAACAUGAUGUUUCAAGUUGCAACCACGUUUGGGAUUUUUACAGCAAAUAUGAUCAAUUAUGGAACACAACAGAUUCAACCCUGGGGGUGGAGGCUGGCCCUUGGCCUUGCUGCAAUUCCAACUCUUUUGAUGACUAUCGGAGGAAUAUUUAUUCCAGAGACUCCAAAUAGCUUAAUAGAAAGAGGAUCAAAGGAACAAGGGAGGAAGCUCCUUGAAAAAAUCAGAGGAACGAAUGAGGUCGACGCGGAGUUCCAAGAUAUGCUUGAUGCGGGUGAAUUGGCAAAUUCAAUAAAGCACCCCUAUUAUAACAUCCUUAAAAGAAGAUACAGACCAGAGUUGGUCAUGGCUAUCUGCAUGCCUGCAUUCCAGAUUCUGACCGGCAUAAACUCAAUCCUCUUUUAUGCUCCAAUGCUAUUUCAAAGCAUGGGAUUUGGCAGACAGGCAUCUCUCUACUCCUCAGCAUUGACUGGAGUAGUUCUUGCUGGAUCAACAUUCAUUUCUAUUGCAACAGUAGAUAGAUUGGGGCGACGACCCUUACUCAUCAGUGGUGGAAUACAAAUGAUUGUAUGCCAGGUAUGGAAAAUCAUUGUUAAAUGUAAAUUCCAAUCAUGCUUACCAGCACCAUGACUUUGUGACCUAAUGCUAGAAACUGAAUAAUUACACCAUUCAUUUAGUGUAACACAUACAAUUUGCAAAUGCCACUGCACUUAAGUUGCAUCCUUGAUUAUAGUCUCAUUUUUCACAUGAACAGGUUUCAGCUGCCAUAAUUCUGGGGAUCAAAUUUGGAGAAAACCAAGAAUUGUCAAAAAGCUAUUCAAUAUCGGUUGUAAUAAUACUCUCUCUAUUUGUUCUAGCAUUUGGAUGGUCAUGGGGGCCACUAGGAUGGACAGUCCCAAGUGAGAUAUUUCCGUUAGAAAUCCGAUCGGCAGGGCAAAGUAUAACAGUUGCUGUGAACCUUCUCUUCACUUUCAUAAUUGCACAGGCCUUUCUUUCCCUUCUCUGUUUUUUUAAGUAUGGGAUCUUCCUAUUUUUUGCUGGCUGGACAGCCCUAAUGACCCUAUUUGUUUUUUUGUUCCUACCUGAAACCAAGGGCAUUCCCAUUGAAGAGAUGUCAAUUUUGUUGAGGAAACAUUGGUUCUGGAAAAUGGUACUACCAGAUGAUGCAGUUUGACUACAAUUACUUGGAUAUUUUAUCAAUUGAUCAUGAUAAGGCAUAUAACUGAAAAUCUCACCCAGAAUCAUAGUUUGUCCUUCAUAUGUUGUAAUUAAGUACACUACAUUCACAUCUAUGAAAUAUUUGAUUGUCACAUUAUUUGUAAUUUUAUAUUAUCAAUGACAAAUUAAUUACUUUUUAGCUUAACUACAGUAGUGUUGGUCCCUUUUUUAGCUUCCUUAACAAAUGUCUCGGGAGCAUUGGUUAACAUGACCCAUAGCUUAUUCAUGAAUUGGUUCCCCAUUUUAAAAUCCAUCCGUUUUUAAUCAUGUCACAUCAUCGUUUUUAAAUCAAAAUAUGAGGGAUGGACUAAAUCUAGAUCAUAUUUUAAAUGGAUGAUCAAUUUCAUGAGCAAGUGAACAGAUAACCAAUUUCAUGAACCUAAUUACUCCACUGGUGGGUUUGAUAUUCUAAAAGGGUAAUUGAAUGUUAAUGUUGCAAAGUAGUGGAGCAAGGUAUAAAAGGAAUAAAGCAAACACCCUAUUCGGUAAUGACAAUGAGAAAUGUAGCAUGCUCUAGGGUAUAUAGUGCAUUUGCUCAAAAAAAAAUAAAAGAUAUUGUGUCCUCGUGAGUUUAUCCUAGAUGGUAGGGACAUUGUAUAAAAAAAAUAUUGUAAUAUUUAUAAGGUUAAGGAGUUUCAAGCAUGAUCUUAAAUUGAUCAGUUAGGUGAAACGAUUUUAGUUGAACCUUGUUUGAUUGUAAAUUUGUUCAAGGGAUUGGAUAAGGGAUUUGACAAAAAUUAAAAUUUUUGUUUCUUAUUAAAUCACACCAUAACAUUUUGUCCGAUACAAGUUAUCUAUUUUUAUUUUUUUAAAACUAUAGAAGGUUGUCAUAUGUUAUCCUAUCUUUUGUUAUGAUGUGUUCCAUCAUGUUGUGUUGUUAGGUUAAAAUCUAUCAUUCUCAUGAGAUAAGCUUAAUUGCAUUAUAAUUCUCUCAUGUGUUAAAAUUUACACUUUCCUCUCUCAGUAAUUUUAUUUUUAAUUUUAAUGGUAUAACAACAAAAAUCAAAAAGUUUAAUGGUGCUGCAAUGACAGUUCCAAACAGUUUUCCACACACAAUCAAUCAAAACAUUUAUAAUUAUCACAUCAAUUUAUAUGACAAUUAUGAAUGUUUUGAUUGAUUAUAUAUGCAAAACAGAUUUAAAUUGUCGACCCACCACCAUUAAACUUUAAAUCUAAUAUCCAAAGUGCCAUGAAAAUAAGUAUUGAAGGUCUAUUGUUUUAUAAAUACAAAUUUAAAUGCUUAUUUCUCUCUACUUUUAAUUCAUAAUAACAUAAACAUAUAGUUUCAAACCAUGUAUAUAAAGUAUGAAGCAAUACGUAAAAUUUAAAUUUAGAAGAUUACUAAAGCUGGUAAAAUAUGUCUAUUUAAAAAUAAAUUUUAGAUUCUAAAUAUGAAAUUAAUAAUAAAUUAUUUAAAUUAAAUUAUCAUUGACAUUAAAAAUUAUAACGAAAUAAUCUUUUCUUAAAAUGGUGGUUUAAAAUUAGUUUUUAUCAUAAAAAUAUUUAUUUAUUUUAAAAUAGAUUAAACUAUAAUACGUAUUUUUAUUUUUAAGAUAGAUGAGUUUAAUUUAUGCAUAAUUUAUUCUAAUUUUUUAUUUCUGAGAUGAGGAGAAUGUAUUAUUUAACAUAAACUGAUUAGAGAAUUUCUAUGAGCUUAGCUCGCUUGAUAAAAAUAAUGUAUAAUAUAUAUAAGGUCCAGAGUUAAAAUUCCGACCACCAAAAAAAAUUAAUUAGAGAGUAUAAUUCAGACUUCUUUUCUUUUAAAGAAGAGAUAUAAUUUACAUAAAUUAUUAUUUAUUUUCGGGUAAAUACCUAAAAAACUUGGUAUUUAAAAAAGGGAAGUGUUAUUUCGGAACACUAGUUAAAAAAAACUAAUAUAAAAUUUUUUAUUAGAAAGUGGUGAAAAGUAUAAUAUUCACAUUUAUAAAAGUUGUUGUAUUUUAUGAAAAAAAAAUAUAUUUUUACUCCCUUAACUAGUGUCUGCGAAGCACCGGUUUUAAUAAAUAAAAUAAAAAAGAAAAAAAGUAGUAGUAUACAGAAAGAGAGAAAGAAAAAUCAGAAUCAGUUUCCUUUGAAGUCUCUGGUCAAUUUUUGCGGCUCUGCAAAAUUUACUUUUUUACGUUUCACUGCAACUAGACCAAAGCUCCUUUUCUGCAAAACAAGACACCCUAUGAUGAAAGUUGCAUAUCACUAAUCUGAAGGCUUUUACCACAAGUUUUUUUAUUCAAUAUGUUUUGAUCAUCAUGAUUAAGUAAGGAAAAAAUGUUAACAUCCACAUGUUAAUGAAUUACAUAUGAUAAUCUUAUCAUAAAAAUUAUGUAUUUAAAUUUUUAAAACUAAGAAGAAGAAAUCUUAACCAUGGAAAAUUUCUAGUAUUUUUGAGUUUUUAACUUGUGCAAGACCGUAAAAGUAAAUGAGAAAUGAUAUUCGAACAUACAAUUUUUGCAACAAUUUUCUCUCUCAUAUUCACAUUAUUUUUUACUUUAUCUUUAUAUUGCUAUAGUUUUCGUGCCAAUAUUACUUUUUUCUUUAUAAAAUAUUGUUAUUGAAUAAAUUAUUUACUUUGGUUGUUCAAAUAACACUCUUCAAAAUAAAUAUUUGUGGUCUAAAGUCAAGCUUUUCGGCUAUGCAUUUACUUACAUUUUAUUGUCCCUUUUCUGUGGCAACAGGUAAAAGUCCCCUCGAUAUCAUUUCAACAGUACGUACUCAAUAAUCUCUUCGGUGCAAGUUGGGGAAAUUUGAAGCUUCGAACUGACAAAGAAAAACAGAGAGAAGGAAAUUGCAAUAGAAAAGAUCCACACUGCUACCAUAGUACCAGGCACGGAUAUACCUAUACUUCAUUAGGGGCAAUUGCCCCCAUUACCUUUUCUACUUUAUUUGUUAAAUUUUAGGUAUUGUAAUUGUUGCCUCCUCUUAAAUAAAAACAAAAAUAUAUUGUCUCUAUUAAAUGAAAAUUGAUAUUCCUUCUGUCCCAUAAUAUUUGACAAAGUUGAUCUUAUUACAUAUGCUAAUGUAUAACUUAAAUUUAAAUAUUUUGAAUAAAAUAUUGGAAAUUAUGAAAAUUUAAUAUUUUGAAAAUAUUCAUAAAGACGAAUCUAACGACAUCUUAUAUAAUACUACCUCCGGUCCUAUUUAUAAGAGAAAUUUAGGUCAACAAAAGUGAAUGUAUUUGGACUGAAUUUUUAACUAGAUACAUCAACUUUUGUUGACCCAAAAUUUUCUUAUAAAUAGGACCGGAGGGAGUAUUAUUUAUCUUUAUAUUAGUAGAAAAAUACGAUCAAAGUAAGUUAGGUCAAAAUUGCACAUUUUCAAAUGUGUCAUCUAUUGCGGGACGGAGGGAGAACUUCCUCCAUCCUAUAUUAAGUGACAUGGUUGAUCUUGUCACACAUACCAAUGCACAGUUUUUAUCUUAAAUAACUUUACUAAUCUAAUAGAAAAAAAUUGAUAUUUUGAAAAUAUUCAUCGAGACGAAUCGAACGAUAUCUUGUAUAAUAUUAUCUAUCUUUGUAUAUUAGUAGAAAAAUACGGUCAAAAUAUGUUAAGUCAAUAGUGCACAUUUUUAAAUAGGUCAUCUAUUAUAAGACGGAGGGAGUACUAUAAAAAGAGUUUUUUUCAUGAAUUUUACAACAUCAAAUGUGUAAAUGCAUUUGAGAUGAAAUUUUAAAUGAUUUUUACCAUACUUUUUAAAUAUAAAGACACGUAAAUAAUAAUUUUAAUUUGUAGAUGUUUAUUUUUUAAAGAUUUAAUUUGUAGAUGUUAUAUGAGUCUUUAAUUUUUCUAAUAUAAAAAUAGAGUUUUUAUAUGAGUCUCUAGGUAGCUGAUAAAAUUAAGUCGCUAACUUUCAUGUGGUUGAAGGCGAAAUUUCCUUCUCUUCCCUUCAAUCAUCAUAGUUGGUGGUUUAGUUCAUUCACUAUAUUAGGCAUAGGCUAAUAGCUAAGUUUGUCGCUUUUUGUUUUCUCUUGUAUAUAUUUGUUUCAACUCUGGUGUUUUUCCUUGGCAUGCCUUAUGCUAGGGAGAACCUUUUGAUGUGGUAAUAUAAUUUUAUUUAGACUCUUAAAAAAAAUAUAUAUUAUUUUAUCACUUUUUCAUUGAUAAAAAAAUAAUGUAUAAAUAUUUAUCAUAUAAAUUCUUGCCCCCUUAAAUCAAAAUUUAUAGAUCCAUCAGUACUAAUAUUACCAUCAUUCUUAAACCCCUCUUCCUCCAUUAUACCGAGCAGCUUCAGUUGAAAUUUUCCCAGGUUCUCUUUUCUUCCUUUUUAUUAUCAUUCCUUUUCUUCUCUCAAUAUAACUGCAACUUUUAUGCUUUAAAAAAAAAAUAAAAAAUUUGAAGGAAGAGUUUGAACUUGAUUACUUUUUUUCUACUUUGUUUUAAUUAAGGGCUUUAUUAACGAGUGUUCCUGAGAUACUCUUUAAACAUCCUUAAUUUAACAAUUAUUUCUUUAAAAAAUCAACUAUUACAAUUUUCAAUGCAUUGAUUACUCAAUUUUUUAUAAAAAAACUUACUAUUUAAAAUGCUUAAAGAGUUCUCCGGAACACUCAUCAACAUUUUUCUUUAAUUAAAUGGAAAUGUUAACAAGAGUUUCGGGACACUCUUUAAACAUUCAAAUGGUAAAAAUUUAUAAAAGUUUUUGCAUUUAUUAUAUUAGAAAUUAAAAUUUUUAAUUUUUUAAAAGAAUUAUUUCUUUAUUAUGAAUGUUUAACAACACUCUUAAUUAAAUAACAGUCAUAUGAUUGAACAAAACAUAGACAAAAACAUGAAUUCUUGUCCUCCCUAAAUCAUAAGAUAAUGUUUGUCUUUCGUGCAGGCUAACAAAAAUACCAAACUAGUAUCAUUUUUUUUUUUUCAACAUAAAAAAUGUUAUCUCUCCAUUGCAGCUUUGUCUUGGUCUAUUAUUUUUAUGUUCAAUACUUAUUAUUUUACGAACCAAACACACCUAUUAUUUUUGUCCAGAAAAGUAUAUGUGGCUGGUGUAGGAAUUUUUUUUUGAAAAAUUGUUUGUAUGGUCAUGAGUCGUCAAAAUUUACUUUUGCUAAUAUAUAGUAUAAAAUACGUAUAGUAUUAGACUGGAUGAGUUAACUAUUUUCAAUUAUAGAUGCGUUUGAAAAUUCAAGUGCAUGAAUAACGAUUGGUUUAUGCAGGGGUAUUUGCGGUGCAGUUUGGUUCGGUUUUAAGGUUAAAAGUCAUCCGAACCGUAAGAUAAAAAACAUGCAGUUUGGUUUGGUUCGGUUGACUUUUAAAAUAAAAUCCAAACCAAACCAAAUCAAUGCGGUUUGAAUUGGAUCGGGUUGGUGUGGUUUUUUCGAGACAAUACAAUUUUUUGUUUUCAACAUUAAAAUCGAGUUAAAAAGGUAAAACACAACAUAUUUCAGCAAUGUUCCGACAAUGUUUUUAAUUUCAUUCCACAUUACACUUUGAUUAUCUCCAAACAACGUAAACCAAAUUAAAAAUGUGGACAUAAAGUAAUUCUAUUAUGAAAGAAAUGUAAAAUACUAAUAUUUUAUCAUUCUUUAAAAGUUCAAGUAACACAUAAAUACAUUUUUGAAAUAAAAAGCAAAGAAGAAACUUAACAAUAGAAAAAAUAUGUCAUUUUAUAAAAGUUUCCAUUGAGUUUCUAUGAGUAUUGGUCUAGGUGACAUAGAUUAGAAUUUUUCUUAUGUUGCGGUUUUGUUUGGUUUGGUUCGGUUGGUAAAAUGAAAACCGCAAACCAAACCAAACCAUGCGGUUGAGCAAAAAAGUGAUCCGAAUACAUCCAAACUAAAUGCGGUUUUUGCAGUUUCAGUUUGGGUUGGUUCGGUUUGCGGUUUUUCUAUUGGAUUCUGUUUUGAACACCCCUAGGUUUAUGUUGUGUAUUUUAUCGAAAAAUGUUUUUUAUUUAAUUUGUAGGUGAUUUCAAUAUGAUGCAACUACGAAAGGGAAAAUGUGUUUAUCUUCUUGUGAUACAAACGAGGGGUAGGGCUGACAAUGAAUCGAACCAACUCAAUUAGAGUUCGUAAUUCGAUUCGACAACUGAUUUGUUGAACUUGGUUCAUGAAUCAAAUGAGUCGAACUUGAGCUGAAAAUUAAGUUCGUCAACUAAUUGAGCUGAACUUAAGCUAUAUGUAGUUCGACUCGUUUGGUUCACGAGAUAACUCGAUAAUAUAUAUAUAUAUAUAUAUAUAUAUAUAUAUAUAUAUAUAUAUAUAUAUAUAUAUAUGCUAGCAACACUCGUUUUUGAGCACUUUCUCUAACAUCCACUCUUUUAUUGGUUUAAAGCAUUAUGGGUCUACGCUUUGAAAAUUGAACCCACACAAAGUGGUGGAACAUACAUUGAUUUAUUCCAAUAAGAGAGUGAGUGUUAAAGAGAGUGCUCAAUAGUGAGUGUUGCUAGUAUAUAUAUAUAUAUAUAUAUAUAUAUAUAUAUAUGAGAAUGACUAUCUUAUAUGAGAAUGAUGAGAAUGAUUAUCAACCGUUAGAUCAUAAAUAGAAUUACAAAGUCACAUAUGUACCUCAUCUUAUUUUAUCAAUUCUCAUAAACUCAUUUCUCUGGCCGGAUUAUGGGGAAAAGAAGAUGAAAAGGGAAAUGAGUUUAUGAGGACUGAUAUAAUAAAGUGUGGUAUAUAUGUGACUUUUUAAUCUCAACCAUCUAUUUAUGAUCUAAUGGUUGAUGAUCAUUCUAAACAUUCUCAUGUGAGAUAGUCAUUCUCAUAAUAAACAUCAUAUAUAUAUAUAUAUAUAUAUAUAUAUAUAUAUAUAUAUAUAUAUAUAUAUAACACUUAAAAAAUAUUUUAAAACUUUAUAUAAUUGAUUUUACACAAUUUGAUAAUUGAUUAUAUAUAUAAUACUUUAAAAACUAAGACAGACGAAUUCUUUGAAUAAAUGAAUUUAAAAAUUGGUAUAAAUUUCAAUAUAUUUAUAUAUAAUACUUUAAAAACUAAGACAUACAAAUUCUUUGAACAAAUUAAUUUAAAAAUUGAUAUAAAUUUCAAUAUAUUUAUGUAUCAAAAAUUUAAAUUCUUUGACUUUUGAGCUACGUGGUUCAAGUGAUUUUACUCAUUUCCAUACCUAAAGUUAUGUGCUUUGAACAAACGAAUUGAAUCUAAUGAGUCGAACCAAACUGUUUGUGAACUUUAAACGAGUCGAACUUAAGCUCAAAAAAAAAGUUCGUGUCAAACUCGAAUCGAAGUUCGAACCAAGCCAAUUCUUAAUGAGUCGAACUCAGACAUGUUUGAUUCGACUCGACUCAUUUAGAGCCUAACGAAGGGUGAAGUUUAAGAUGAAAAAGGUGAAUCAUUUCCUACCAAUCUGUUUUGUUUUGUUUAAUGAAACUACUGUAAAAUGUACUAUCUUUUGUUAUAAUGACUAUAGUUCACUUCACCUUGAUUUUGCAAAUCUCAUCUCCAAACUGAACAUGCACUACGAUUUGUUAACGUGUUUAACGUGAUACUGCUACUAUCAGUAUCUAUAUACGGGGAGACAAUCUGGGUCCAGAGCAUCUGACUUGGCAUAAAAAAGAACCGUGGGCUGUGAAAAAGGACAAGCGCUAAGAACGAAACAUUGUUUUUGACAGAUAACAAGGAAACUCAUGGUGCAAAAUCCUACAUGUAGCAUUCUGGAUAGGGACAUUUUUUGGGUUGGGUUGGGUGAGGGUAAAAUCCACUGAGUGCGUGGCAUGAAAAUGCUGACAACUGCAUUGCCUUUCUUAAUCGGGUAUCCUCCAAUCUCCAUAUACCAUAGCCAUUGGCCACUCACAGAUCCAUGUAGUACAUGGCUAUAAGGGUUCACGCCCCCACAAUGAAACAAAUUUCUUCAAAAACCUCUCUCAAGUUACUUUCAUAAUAAACAUUUGCUUCCAGAUUAAGCUAUAUAACACUAUAAAUAAAACAAAAUAAAUUGAUAUUAAAUUAAAUUUGUUUAUUUUAAGGAAUUAAAUUUAAUCUAUUAUCUUUUUUUUUUAAGAGACUAAAAUUAUUACCAUAGCAAAAAGACCUUCCUAGCACAAGGUGUGCUAAGGAAGAAACACUUUAAUACAGUCAGAGUCAGAAACAAAAAACAAAUAACUAUAAUGCUGAAAGCGAACCACCAAAGGAAAACAAAGGAAAAACACGAAUAGUAAACAGACUCUGCCACCAACCAUGAUAAUUGAGAGGAAGAUUGAAUAGUUUCCCCUUUAGCCACAUGAAAGUUAAAGCCUUGAUUAUGUCUACCACCUGCAUAAUAAAACAAUUUUUUUGCAUUGAAAAUUCAAUUAUUUAUUUCCUUCCAUAUUUCCCACACCGUUGCAAACCAUAUGACCUAUAACAGAGAUCGCCUUGACUUUGCUACACCACCAAUAUAACUUUUAAUUUUUUUCACUUCUUCAACACAAAGUAACUUUAGUCAUACAAGUAGUAAUGUGUCGCGAGUUUUACUCGGUUGAUAUGGACAAUACAUAAUAUAUGCAUAUAUGCAAGAUUCGGAGUUCAAACUUCGGCCAUAAAAAAAAUACAAGUAGUAAUGUUUUCAAAGUUGUGUAGUUGAUGUUUUUAAAAAUUAGAAAAUAAUUUUUUCAACGCAAUUUUUUAUUUAUUUUCUUGACAAGUGUCAUUAUUUUUCAAAUAAAAAAUUAUUCUAUAUGUUAUUGAAUACUUUAGGUGUUUAGCUUAUAAGUUAUAAAGUUUAAUAUUUUAUAGGAAAAUGUUAAUAAGUGGUUUUAGACACUGAUUAAGAAAAUAAAUUUAGUAAAACUUAGCAUAUUUUGCUUCUAUAAACAUAUAGACUAUUUUCGUACACCGCCACAAAAAGUUUUUGAAUCCAUCAGUGCUAUAUAUAAUUUUACAAACUUAUCUCUCAUGUCUGAUAUCAUGAGGCAAAAUAUGAUAAAUUGAUAACGUUAAUAAAUAUUUAACUUGGUAUGUCUUCUGGCAAGUUGUAUUGAAAGACAAAUUCAGUUUUGAAUGACAAAAUAUACCUCUCCUUGGAACACUCGACUGCGGGACCCCAUAAAUGUUAAAAGAAUCAAUCUAGCUUACGGGUCUUGGUGUUGAACAGUUUGGAUUCUAGAAACUUGACUUCAUUUCUACGUUGAGUGCGGAAAGCAAUAAUGAAUAAGCAGAUAUUACAGAUCAGAUGAGGUCAAUAUUAAGCUUAAGUACUGUUUUCAGCAGGCAAUUUCUCAACGUUAUUGGAUUCCACUUUAUGUGAAAAAAAUCUAAUAAAAUAAUAAUCACAAGUUUUUUUACUUUAUCCUUUGUUAUAUAUAUAAUAUUGAAGGUGAGAGUUCUGAGAGUGUGAUGUUCAUCUUCCAUAUUAUAUGCCGCCGUCUGUUAUAAGCAAAUGGAAGAUGGUAGAGGUGGUGGUACUGUGGAUAAGAACGGAAGGGCAGAGCAAUAUAAGGGAAGGGUCACUGUUCAUGUUAUCAUUGCUUGCAUUGUUGCUGCUACUGGUGGGUCCCUUUUUGGCUAUGACGUUGGUAUUUCAGGUUUGUCUUAAUCCCUUCACUCUCAAAACUUCAUUCCAAAUUUAGUUUUGAUUUCAUUUUCUGGAAUAGAUUCUCUUUCUCUUGUUAUUAUGUUAGAAAACUUCCACUACUUGUUUGUUUUUUAUAAUAAGAUGUUUUUGAAAGCUGAAAAGGGAAAUACAUAUGAGUUGAAUUUCACCGACAGACAUAACACACUUUGAGUUGAUGAGAAUAAGGAAAGAAAAAAAAUGUUCUUUCAUGUCUGUUUCUCAGAAUUUAAAUCUGUCCUUGUCUGAAAUCUGUUCAAUCUCAAGUGCUUAAAAGCUCUCAUCCUUUAUUCUUCUAAGAUGCAAAUUCCCAAUUAUAUAAUUGACAAAUCUACCAUUAAAUUGCAUUAUAUAAGUUAUUUUGACUUAGAUCCAAUUCCUUGUGCUCCAACAUGGAUAUAUCAAAUUAUUUGAAUCAUCUUUUGGGGGGGACAAGACAUGGUAUAAUAUAUUAUGAUGUAAUUUAAUGCAUUCUUUCUCUUUAUGGGACCCAAAAUGAAGCUUUUUUAUGAUGGCUCGUAUUUUUCAUUUUCACAUUAUCAGAGUAUGAAAUAAAGUUGUAACCAAAAAAAAAGGAGUAUGAAAUAAGCGCAAUCUUUAUGGUCAUUUAUUAUAAGAUAAUUGACGCAUGUGUCAUGGUUAACAGGAGGAGUUGCUUCCAUGGAUGACUUUCUUCAGAAUUUCUUCCCCGCAGUGUACAAACAUAAAUUGCGAGCACAUGAAAACAAUUAUUGCAAGUAUAACAAUCAGGGGAUUUCUGCAUUUACCUCUACUUUAUACAUUUCUGGUUUCAUUGCAUCCAUAGUAGCAGCUCCAAUUACAAGAAGGUAUGGACGAAGGACAAGUAUCAUAAUUGGUGGUAUCAACUUUCUUGUCGGAUCAGCUCUAAAUGCUGCAGCUGUUGAUCUGGAAAUGCUUAUCAUAGGAAGGGUUUUGCAAGGUGUUGGCAUUGGAUUUGGAAAUCAGGUAGUAGCAUUUUCCUACAUUAAUCUUUUAUCCAUUCUUAACUGAAUGCAAAAUAUUUUUGAUAUAAAACAUUGGUUUAUUUAUAUUAGAAGAACAACCGAGAAACCAUACCAUGUUCAAAACCAAAGUCUAAAGUCUAGAUAACCAUAGUAUCAAAUGUUAGCUUUAAAAAGUGACAGCGAACAUUAAUUAUAUGAAUGUUAAUGUAGAGUGUCAAAUUUUACAGGAAAAAAAAGGUAGUAAUGUGAUGGAAACAAUCAGGGGUACAAUAAAGUAUGUUUAAGUUAGAAGAUAAUUCAAUUAUACUAUACCUUUUUGAAGGCUAUUCCGCUCUAUUUGUCAGAGAUGGCGCCAACCCACUUUCGAGGAGCCCUGAACAUGAUGUUUCAAGUUGCAACCACUUUUGGGAUUUUUACAGCAAAUAUGAUCAAUUACGGAACACAGCAGAUUCAACCAUGGGGGUGGAGGUUGGCCCUUGGACUUGCUUCAAUACCAACUCUUUUGAUGACUGUCGGAGGAAUAUUUAUUCCAGAGACUCCAAAUAGCUUAGUAGAAAGAGGAUCAAAGGAACAGGGGAGGAAGCUCCUUGAAAAAAUCAGAGGAACAGAUGAGGUCGACGC